rnacentral:rRNA from 1 species
GUNGUUAGCCGUGACUUUCUAAGUAAUUACCGUCAAAUAAAGGCCAGUUACUACCUCUAUCUUUCUUCACUACCAACAGAGCUUUACGAGCCGAAACCCUUCUUCACUCACGCGGCGUUGCUCCAUCAGACUUGCGUCCAUUGUGGAAGAUUCCCUACUGCUGCCUCCCGUAGGAGUAGNGGGNAUCUUCCACAAUGGACGCANGUCUGAUGGAGCAACGCCGCGUGAGUGAAGAAGGGUUUCGGCUCGUAAAGCUCUGUUGGUAGUGAAGAAAGAUAGAGGGAGUAACUGGCCUUUAUUUGACGGUAAUUACUUAGAAAGUCACGGCUAACUACGUGCCAGCAGCCGCGGUAAUACA